UACGUAGGGGGCAAGCGUUGUCCGGAUUUAUUGGGCGUAAAGAGCGUGUAGGCGGCCAGACAGGUCCGUUGUGAAAACUCGAGGCUCAACCUCGAGACGCCGAUGGAAACCGUCUGGCUAGAGUCCGGAAGAGGAGAGUGGAAUUCCUGGUGUAGCGGUGAAAUGCGCAGAUAUCAGGAAGAACACCAGUGGCUAAGGCGGCUCUCUAGUACGGUACUGACGCUGAGACGCGAAAGCGUGGGGAGCGAACAGG
rnacentral:rRNA from 1 species